ACUCAAAGGAAUUGACGGGGACCCGCACAAGCGGUGGAGCAUGUGGUUUAAUUCGACGCAACGCGAAGAACCUUACCUAGGCUAGAAUGUGAGGGAAGAAAGGGUAAUACCGAUCGUCCGGGAAACCGGACCCAAAACAAGGUGCUGCAUGGCUGUCGUCAGCUCGUGUCGUGAGAUGUUGGGUUAAGUCCCGCAACGAGCGCAACCCUUAUCGAUAGUUGCCAUCAUUAAGUUGGGAACUCUAUCGAGACUGCCGUUGAUAAAACGGAGGAAGGUGGGGAUGAUGUCAAGUCAUCAUGGCCUUUAUGCUUAGGGCUACACACGUGCUACAAUGGCCGGUACAAAACGUCGCGAACCCGUAAGGGGAAGCUAAUCGCUAAAACCGGUCUCAGUUCGGAUUGGAGUCUGCAACUCGACUCCAUGAAGUUGGAAUCGCUAGUAAUCGCAAAUCAGCAUGUUGCGGUGAAUACGUUCCCGGGUCUUGUACACACCGCCCGU
rnacentral:rRNA from 1 species